rnacentral:rRNA from 1 species
CCUACGGGAGGCAGCAGUGAGGAAUAUUGGUCAAUGGACGAGAGUCUGAACCAGCCAAGUAGCGUGAAGGAUGACUGCCCUAUGGGUUGUAAACUUCUUUUAUAUGGGAAUAAAAUGUUCCACGUGUGGGAUUCUGUAUGUACCAUAUGAAUAAGGAUCGGCUAACUCCGUGCCAGCAGCCGCGGUAAUACGGAGGAUCCGAGCGUUAUCCGGAUUUAUUGGGUUUAAAGGGGGCGUAGGUGGAUUGUUAAGUCAGUUGUGAAAGUUUGCGGCUCAACCGUAAAAUUGCAGUUGAUACUGGCAGUCUUGAGUACAGUAGAGGUGGGCGGAAUUCGUGGUGUAGCGGUGAAAUGCUUAGAUAUCAUGAAGAACUCCGAUUGCGAAGGCAGCUCACUGGACUGCAACUGACACUGAGGCUCGAAAGUGUGGGUAUCAAACAGGAUUAGAUACCCGAGUAGUC